rnacentral:rRNA from 1 species
CGUUGUCCGGAUUAUUGGGCGUAAAGAGCUUGUAGGCGGUUUGUCGCGUCUGCUGUGAAAGGCCGGGAGCUUAACYCCGUGUAUUGCAGUGGGUACGGGCAGACUAGAGUGCAGUAGGGGAGACUGGAAUUCCUGGUGUAGCGGUGGAAUGCGCAGAUAUCAGGAAGAACACCGAUGGCGAAGGCAGGUCUCUGGGCUGUAACUGACGCUGAGAAGCGAAAGCAUGGGGAGCGAACAGGAUUAGAUACCCUGGUAGUCCAUGCCGUAAACGUUGGGCACUAGGUGUGGGGGACAUUCCACGUUUUCCGCGCCGUAGCUAACGCAUUAAGUGCCCCGCCUGGGGAGUACGGCCGCAAGGCUAAAACUCAAAGAAAUUGACGGGGGCCCGCACAAGCGGCGGAGCAUGCGGAUUAAUUCGAUGCAACGCGAAGAACCUUACCAAGGCUUGACAUAUACUGGACCGCAUCAGAGAUGGUGUUUCCCUUCGGGGCUGGUAUACAGGUGGUGCAUGGUUGUCGUCAGCUCGUGUCGUG